AACAUCAGCAACAUCUUCCUCUACACUUCCUUUAGCUUCAACAACUUCACGUUCAUUAUUGUCAUUGUGGUGGGUCUUUUCUUGUAAGCCUCCUUCAACCGUCACCUCCUGUGCGCGUGUAACGUCAUCCUCAUCUUGAUCUUUUUCUAAUACGUUGACAACUUGUUCCUUUUCUUCAUGUUCUGUCGUCUCUACUUGAGGUAUUGUUUGUGUUGAGGCGCAAGCAUCGGGGGUGAUUGCUUGUAAUAACCCAUUUUGCUCCUUUCUGCAAUUUCUACAUCCGGCUUGGUUUCUUUAAUCUCUACAUCUUGCUUAAUUUUCUUGACACUUUCCUCGUACUUUUGUUCUUCUGUGUCCCUUGAUCCAAUUUCACUCAGUUCACUUGCCUAUAUGAAAUUAUUUAUAUUUUGAGUUUAUGGGUAGAGUGAAAGAAAAUCUAAAAUAAUGUAUAUGAAUAAGCUCAAAGCUUGUAGCAACAAUAUUUGUAGCAGCUUGGAUUCAUCUUUUUUCAUCCAAAUAUUAGCCACAAUUUUUAUAAAUGGUGUCUUCUUCACAAUGCCAUUUUCUCUAAGCAUUUAUCAUUUUUGAUGUAAUUUAUUAUUGUUGAAGGUAAAAAUGUCAUACUGAUAGGUAAAAAUGGCAAAAGGGAUGGUCUGUUGGGUUGGGUUGAGUAAGGGGUCAACGUUGGUCAUUUUAAUCUCUGGUUACCUUUCUUGGAAAUUUUUGUUUUAUGCUUUUUUUUAUAUUAAACAAAUCCACCCGUUAUAUAUUUUAUUCGGUAUCAAAUAUAUACAACCCCGAUUGACCCAUUCCCGCACUCUUAUAACACCAGCAUAGCAGCCUUUUGGAAUAAUUAGAAAUUACUUGGGUUAAACAUUAUUUACCUCUUGUGCAUCAACUGAUUUGUCACCUGUUUCUUCCUUGACAAACUCUCUAGGCGUUUCAUUCAGAUCCUGCUCCUUGAAAUCAGCCACUACGGGCGCAUGUUCUUCUGUUGUUUCUUUUAUAUCCUCACAUGCAGCAUCUUGUGAGCUUGUAACACCAUAACCAUCACCUUGGUUCUUCUCCAACACGUUGAAAGCUUCUUUCUUACCCUGCUCGACGCUGUCGGUUUCAGACUUCUCGGGGACACUGUUUCCACAUACUCCACUCUCAAUAGCCUUUUCUCCAAUCUUUAUGGUUUCUUCUUCAGGUUCUGUUGGUUUUGCAGCCUUGUAACUUUCUGGUGUGUUGCUGUUUUGCAGCCUUCCACUCUCAUCGGUUGGUUUACUGGUACCGGUUUCUAGUGGUGUAUAUACAGUUGUUGCCACUAGGCUGCUAGUUUCAAGUUGCUUCACUUGGUUUCCAGGAAGUUCGGUUACUUUUUCUUCGAAACUUUCACUUGUCAAUGCAUUCUCUUCCCUUUCACCUUUCUGCAGUUAGCUUCAAGAUGUUUACAAUAUCAGCCACGUGAGUGCCCAAAUCCAAGAUCAUUGGUUUCCGCUUUGAUUCCUCUAAAAAAAACAAGGUGCCAUCGAUCAUGUAUUAAUAUGGGUAUCCCACAAGGGUCCACCAUGCCUCUAACGGCUCCCGGAUAAAGAAUGGAUUUAACAUUUAUACAUGAUGUUUUAGAAAAGUUGGGGUACAAAGAUGACGAGGGUGCUGCAACCGAGGCGCGACGAGGUCUAAAACCGAGGUGCGAAGCGUAAAAGCGGUGGGCUUUUCGUACCAGAGGCGCUAGCUAAUUAUGUAUAUUUUUAUAUCCCAUAAGUUUUUAACUUUCUAUACCCAAAAUGUAGCUAUAAGUAGAUUUUUUGUAUGAUUUUAGCUGCAUGUGCAAGCCAAAAAACAAAAGUUACAAUAGUUAGAUGCAUAAAAAUGCCUUGGGUACGAGAGGCACGCGCCUCAGGCUAGAAAAGCCCAGAAAAAUCCCAAAGGGUGCGCCUUUUUGGCGCUUCUUGUAAUUACUCUAGGCGUUGAGCGAAAAAGCCCCAGGGAAGCAAACAUGAAAGAGAAAAUAUGUUUUUUUGGGAUAACAUAUUUAUAUAAUAUCAAUU
rnacentral:lncRNA from 1 species